UGGUAGCUUGCCAAGGCCAGUCGAACCCAUGUGCGCACGAGAGUGCGUACGGGUCAGGGAAUCCGGUGCGAAUCCGGAGCUGACGCGCAGCGGUGAGGGCGACGGGCGGGGCAACGGCCACUGGACGGCGUACGCGGUCCGGGAAGGCGCCUCGUCCGGGUGACCCCGAGUCCGAAGACCUGCUGGCCACCCCGCCGCCGG
rnacentral:ncRNA from 2 species